rnacentral:rRNA from 1 species
CCUACGGGGGGCAGCAGUGAGGAAUAUUGGUCAAUGGACGAGAGUCUGAACCAGCCAAGUAGCGUGAAGGAUGACUGCCCUAUGGGCUGUAAACUUCUUUUAUAUGGGAAUAAAACGUUCCACGUGUGGGAUUUUGUAUGUACCAUAUGAAUAAAGAACGGCAAACUCCGUGCCAGCAGCCGCGGUAAUACGGGGGAUCCGAGCGUUAUCCGGUUUUAUUGGGUUUAAGGGGAGGGUAGGUGGAAUGCCAAGUCGGCGGUAAAAUCGCGGGGCUCAACCUCGCUGCGCCGGUGAAACUGGCGUUCUUGAGUGGGCGAGAGGUGUGCGGAAUGCGAGGUGUAGCGGUGAAAUGCGUAGAUAUCACGCAGAACUCCGAUUGCGAAGGCAGCAUACCGGCGCCCAACUGACGCUGAAGCACGAAAGCGUGGGUAUCGAACAGGAUUAGAUACCCUAGUAGUC